rnacentral:rRNA from 1 species
UAAUACGGAGGGUGCAAGCGUUAAUCGGAAUUACUGGGCGUAAAGCGCGCGUAGGCGGUCUUGUAAGUCGGAUGUGAAAUCCCCGGGCUCAACCUGGGAACUGCAUUCGAUACUGCUCGACUAGAGUAUGGAAGAGGGAAGGGGAAUUCCGGGUGUAGCGGUGAAAUGCGUAGAUAUCCGGAGGAACACCAGUGGCGAAGGCGCCUUCCUGGGCCAAUACUGACGCUGAGGCGCGAAAGCGUGGGGAGCAAACAGGAUUAGAUACCCUGGUAGUCCACGCCCUAAACGAUGUCGAUUAGCCGUUGGGAUCAUUUAAGGUCUUAGUGGCGCAGCUAACGCGAUAAAUCGACCGCCUGGGGAGUACGGCCGCAAGGUUA